GGUAUUAACUGCCUAUCUGAGGACUUGACCUAAAUGGUGCCAAAUUGGGCCUGCGGUUUUCUUUUUACCACUACACAAACACAUCCUGGUCUCUCACAUUGUAGUUGUGCCCCCUUUCCCCACGUCUCACACACACCAAAUACCCAGCGCCCUCUCUCACACUCAGAUACCUCACAGGACAGACACACAUACUGCAGUCACAGCUCACACCAACAUGCUCCGGACAUCUCACACUUUCUCUCUCACACACUCACCUCCCACCACCUCUGGCAGCUCACACUUUCUCUCACACACACUCACCUCCCACCACCUCUGGCAGCUCACACUUUCUCUCACACACGCUCACCUCCCACCACCUCUGGCAGCUCACACUUUCUCUCACACACACGCACCUCCCACCACCUCUGGCAGCUCACACUUUCUCUCACACACACUCACCUCCCACCACCUCUGGCAGCUCACACUUUCUCUCACACACACGCACCUCCCACAUCUCUGGCAGCUCACACUGUCUCUCACACACACGCACCUCCCACCACCUCUGGCAGCUCACACUUUCUCUCACACACACUCACCUCCCACCACCUCUGGCAGCUCACACUUUCUCUCACACACACUCACCUCCCACCACCUCUGGCAGCUCACACUUUCUCUCACACACACUCACCUCCCACAUCUCUGGCAGCUCACACUUUCUCUCACACACACUCACCUCCCACCACCUCUGGCAGCUCACACUUUCUCUCACACACACGCACCUCCCACCACCUCUGGCAGCUCACACUGUCUCUCACACACACUCACCUCCCACAUCUCUGGCAGCUCACACUGUCUCUCACACACACGCACCUCCCACCACCUCUGGCAGCUCACACUUUCUCUCACACACACUCACCUCCCACAUCUCUGGCAGCUCACACUGUCUCUCACACACACGCACCUCCCACCACCUCUGGCAGCUCACACUUUCUCUCACACACACUCACCUCCCACAUCUCUGGCAGCUCACACUCACACACACGCACCUCCCACCACCUCUGGCAGCUCACACUCACACACGCACCUCCCACCACCUCUGGCAGCUCACACUGUCUCUCACACACACUCACCUCCCACAUCUCUGGCAGCUCACACUGUCUCUCACACACACGCACCUCCCACCACCUCUGGCAGCUCACACUUUCUCUCACACACACUCACCUCCCACCACCUCUGGCAGCUCACACUGUCUCUCACACACACUCACCUCCCACCACCUCUGGCAGCUCACACUGUCUCUCACACACACUCACCUCCCACAUCUCUGGCAGCUCACACUGUCUCUCACACACACGCACCUCCCACCACCUCUGGCAGCUCACACUUUCUCUCACACACACUCACCUCCCACAUCUCUGGCAGCUCACACUGUCUCUCACACACACUCACCUCCCACAUCUCUGGCAGCUCACACUGUCUCUCACACACACGCACCUCCCACCACCUCUGGCAGCUCACACUGUCUCUCACACACACUCACCUCCCACAUCUCUGGCAGCUCACACUGUCUCUCACACACACUCACCUCCCACAUCUCUGGCAGCUCACACUGUCUCUCACACACACUCACCUCCCACCACCUCUGGCAGCUCACACUUUCUCUCACACACACUCACCUCCCACAUCUCUGGCAGCUCACACUGUCUCUCACACACACUCACCUCCCACAUCUCUGGCAGCUCACACUGUCUCUCACACACACGCACCUCCCACCACCUCUGGCAGCUCACACUUUCUCUCACACACACUCACCUCCCACCACCUCUGGCAGCUCACACUGUCUCUCACACACACUCACCUCCCACAUCUCUGGCAGCUCACACUGUCUCUCACACACACGCACCUCCCACCACCUCUGGCAGCUCACACUUUCUCUCACACACACGCACCUCCCACCACCUCUGGCAGCUCACACUUUCUCUCACACACACUCACCUCCCACCACCUCUGGCAGCUCACACUGUCUCUCACACACACGCACCUCCCACCACCUCUGGCAGCUCACACUGUCUCUCACACACACGCACCUCCCACCACCUCUGGCAGCUCACACUUUCUCUCACACACACGCACCUCCCACCACCUCUGGCAGCUCACACUG
ensembl:lncRNA